rnacentral:rRNA from 1 species
CUGCCGUCAGCUCGUGUCGUGAGAUGUUGGGUUAAGUCCCGCAACGAGCGCAACCCUUACCCUUACGUUGUUUUCCCGAAAGGAUUACCCUCUAAGGGGACUGCCCCGGACAACGGGGAGGAAGGUGGGGAUGACGUCAAGUCCGCAUGCUCCUUACGUCUAGGGCUACACACGUCCUACAAUGGGGUCGACAGUGGGAUGCAAAGCCGCGAGGUGGAGCCAAUCCCCAAACGGCCUCUCAGUUCGGAUAGUAGUCUGCAACUCGACUACUUGAAGUCGGAAUCACUAGUAAUCGCGGAUCAGCACGCCGCGGUGAAUACGUUCCCGGGCCUU